rnacentral:tRNA from 1 species
GCGGUCGUGGCGGAACUGGCAGACGCACUGGAUUUAGGUUCCAGCGCCGCGAGGCGUGAGAGUUCGACCCUCUCCGACCGCACCA